CCCUCCCUCCCUAAAAGUGAGGCAACGGUUGCCUAGAACAUCACCACCACUCGAUGGGUGGGGGGGCUGCUCGGAAAGUGAUGCAGAGAGAGAGAGAGAGAGAGCGCAGUUGACCCCCCCGCCGUGUUUGCGCAUCCCUCCUCUUUGGCGGAGCGGCAAAUCACGGAGUUGCGGCCUCAUUGGCGCUGUCAGGCGCGUACAGUGGUGUUUAUCUGCAUGGCGCUGCUGCUUAACUGGUUCAAAUGUUAUGGAAAUGAUAUUUACCUCUUCUGUGAUCCUGUAAACUCCAAACGGGGAGGCCGGUUUCUCCUCCCGCUCCUUCCUCCUCCCCUGGCUGAGGGGGGAAAGCGCUUAAGGAAGGCGCUAUAAAUACAGACAAGGAAGGAAAAACAUCAAAUAAAAUAGACGUCCAGGACUGAACGUUUUAAAUCACCCCCCCCCUCUGAUCCCUGGCACCAUCGCGUACAUCUUCAACUCUGAUCGCGGCCUUAAUCUCAGUGAGAACUCGCUCGGGUCGUAAUGAGUGGACGUGACCGCGCGAUGCUCACUUCUCACCGAGAGGGGGCGCGCUGACCCCUGCUUCACACCGGCGACAAUGAGACGUCCCGCCCCCACCGGCAAUGCGAUGUGAGCCGCGGGACCGCGAUCGCUCAAGUUGUUCCCAGUUUCAAAUAUUCCAAACGCCUUGUGUUCAUAUAGAUACACAUUGUGUAUCAUGUUAUAAUAAUUAUUAAAGAAUAGCUGAAUUUUAAUUAAGGGAGAAUUCAUAUUAUACUACAUCAAGCACAUAGUUUCAGCUCAUGUACAUGGAUUGUGUGUAGGCGCUGUUCUUUAUAGUAAUGAAUCAAGUAUAAUGUAAAUGCCAUGUAGUUAUAACUUAGUUUACCCAAUAAAAAAACCACGUAAGAAAAGUAAUGAACCCAUUCCAGCUGUUAUGUCUGCUCACAACAGCUGCAACUGUUAAUAAAGAACUCAAAAUACAAGUUGUGGUUUUUGCUGAUUAAACUUGAUUGCAAUUUGUAGGUCAAAAUAAAAUACAAUCAAUGUUAGUGUAGCCCAGCUAAAGCUCGUGAGGGUGCAUCAAAGAUGGAUCCAGAGGUGGAUCAAACACACAAGUAAUUACAACAAAAAGGGGUGCGCGUCGUAAUUACACAAACGCAUCAUGGUGUGUGGGUUAUAAUUACACAAAGAACAACGUUUUCUGGCUGUUAUUACACAAUAAGAACAAUGUGUGCAGGCUUUAAUUACACAAUAAGAACAAUGUGUGCAGGAUGUAAUUACACAAUACAAACAAUGAGUGCAGGCUGUAAUAACACAAUACGAACAAUGUGUGCAGGCUUUAAUUACACAAUAAGAACAAUGUGUGCAGGAUGUAAUUACACAAUACAAACAAUGAGUGCAGGAUGUAAUUACACAAUAAGAACAAUGUGUGCAGGCUGUAAUUACACAAUAAGAACAAUGUGUGCAGGAUGUAAUUACACAAUAAGAACAAUGUGUGCAGGAUGUAAUUACACAAUAAGAACAAUGAGUGCAGGCUGUAAUUACACAAUAAGAACAAUGUGUGCAGGCUGUAAUUACACAAUAAGAACAAUGUGUGCAGGAUGUAAUUACACAAUAAGAACAAUGUGUGCAGACUGUAAUUACACAAUAAGAACAAUGUGUGCAGGCUGUAAUUACACAAUAAGAACAAUGUGUGCAGACUGUAAUUACACAAUAAGAACAAUGUGUGCAGACUGUAAUUACACAAUAAGAACAAUGUGUGCAGGCUGUAAUUACACAAUCUAAACAAGGUGCACAGACAAUA
ensembl:lncRNA